rnacentral:hammerhead_ribozyme from 1 species
AUCCAGCUGACGAGUCCCAAACAGGAUGAAUCGCGCGUCCUGGAU